GACGAACGCUGGCGGCGUGCUUAACACAUGCGAGUCGUACGGUAAGGCCCUUUCGGGGGUACACGAGUGGCGAACGGGUGAGUAACACGUGAGUAACCUGCCCACAACUUUGGGAUAACGCUAGGAAACUGGUGCUAAUACUGGAUAUGUGCUCCUGCUGCAUGGUGGGGGUUGGAAAGCUCCGGCGGUUGUGGAUGGACUCGCGGCCUAUCAGCUUGUUGGUGGGGUAGUGGCCUACCAAGGCGGCGACGGGUAGCCGGCCUGAGAGGGUGACCGGCCACAUUGGGACUGAGAUACGGCCCAGACUCCUACGGGAGGCAGCAGUGGGGAAUAUUGCACAAUGGGCGCAAGCCUGAUGCAGCAACGCCGCGUGCGGGAUGACGGCCUUCGGGUUGUAAACCGCUUUCAGCAGGGACGAAGCUUUUUGUGACGGUACCUGCAGAAGAAGCACCGGCUAACUACGUG
rnacentral:rRNA from 1 species